rnacentral:tRNA from 1 species
ACUAAAGUAGUUUAAAAUAAACAUUAAUUUGUGGUAUUAAAAUUAUUAGUUAAAAUCUAAUCUAUAGUCC